ACUAAAUAGAUACCCUGGUAGUCCACGCCGUAAACGUUGGGCGCUAGGUGUGGGGCUCUUUCCACGAGUUCCGUGCCGCAGCAAAAACGCAUUAAGCGCCCCGCCUGGGGAGUACGGCCGCAAGGCUAAAACUCAAAGGAAUUGACGGGGGCCCGCACAAGCGGCGGAGCAUGCGGAUUAAAUUCGAUGCAACGCGAAGAACCUUACCAAGGCUUGACAUACGCAGAAAACCGGCAGAGAUGUCGGGUCCGUAAGGGCUGUGUACAGGUGGUGCAUGGUUGUCGUCAGCUCGUGUCGUGAGAUGUUGGGUUAAGUCCCGCAACGAGCGCAACCCUCGUUCCAUGUUGCCAGCACGUAAUGGUGGGGACUCAUGGGAGACUGCCGGGGUCAACUCGGAGGAAGGUGGGGAUGACGUCAAAUCAUCAUGCCCCUUAUGUCUUGGGCUUCACGCAUGCUACAAUGGCCAGUACAAAGGGCUGCGAGACCGUAAGGUGGAGCGAAUCCCAAAAGCUGGUCUCAGUUCGGAUCGGGGUCUGCAAC
rnacentral:rRNA from 1 species